rnacentral:rRNA from 1 species
GACAGAGGGUGCAAACGUUGUUCGGAAUUACUGGGCGUAAAGCGAGUGUAGGCGGUCUCAUAAGUCGGGUGUGAAAGCCCUGGGCUCAACCCAGGAAGUGCACUCGAUACUGCGAGGCUAGAGUAUCGGAGAGGUUGGUGGAAUUCUCGGUGUAGAGGUGAAAUUCGUAGAUAUCGAGAGGAACACCGGUGGCGAAGGCGGCGAUCUGGGUCGAUACUGACGCUGAGGUGCGAAAGCGUGGGGAGCGAACAGG